CCUACGGGGGGCUGCAGUGGGGAAUAUUGGACAAUGGGCGAAAGCCUGAUCCAGCCAUGCCGCGUGUGUGAAGAAGGCCUUCGGGUUGUAAAGCACUUUCAGUGGGGAAGAAAGCCUUGGGGCUAAUACCCUCGAGGAAGGACAUCACCCACAGAAGAAGCACCGGCUAACUCCGUGCCAGCAGCCGCGGUAAUACGGAGGGUGCGAGCGUUAAUCGGAAUUACUGGGCGUAAAGCGCGCGUAGGCGGUCUGAUAAGCCGGUUGUGAAAGCCCCGGGCUCAACCUGGGAACGGCAUCCGGAACUGUCAGGCUAGAGUGCAGGAGAGGAAGGUAGAAUUCCCGGUGUAGCGGUGAAAUGCGUAGAGAUCGGGAGGAAUACCAGUGGCGAAGGCGGCCUUCUGGACUAACACUGACGCUGAGGUGCGAAAGCGUGGGUAGCAAACAGGAUUAGAUACCCGAGUAGUC
rnacentral:rRNA from 1 species